AUUGAACGCUGGCGGCAGGCUUAACACAUGCAAGUCGAGCGGGGACUUCGGUCCUAGCGGCGAACGGGUGAGGAAUGCUUGGGAAUCUGCCCAGUAGCGGGGGAUAACGUUUCGAAAGGAACGCUAAUACCGCAUACGCCCUACGGGGGAAAGGGGGGGAUCUUCGGACCUCUCACUAUUGGAUGAGCCCAAGUCGGAUUAGCUAGUUGGAGGGGUAAAGGCCUACCAAGGCGACGAUCCGUAGCUGGUCUGAGAGGAUGAUCAGCCACACUGGAACUGAGACACGGUCCAGACUCCUACGGGAGGCAGCAGUGGGGAAUAUUGGACAAUGGGCGAAAGCCUGAUCCAGCCAUGCCGCGUGUGUGAAGAAGGCCUUCGGGUUGUGAAGCACUUUAAGCGAGGAGGAAUGGCUCUUGGUUAAUAACCUUGAGCAGUGACGUUACACGCAGAAUAAGCACCGGCUAACUCUGUGCCAGCAGCCGCCGUAAGAC
rnacentral:rRNA from 1 species